rnacentral:snRNA from 1 species
UAGUUGACAGUUUUGUAUUGAAAA